rnacentral:tRNA from 3 species
GCCGCGUUAGCUCAGUGGUAGAGCGCCCGCCUUGUAAGCGGACGGUCGGGAGUUCGACCCUCCCACGCGGCU